rnacentral:rRNA from 1 species
CCCUUAUGACCUGGGCUACACACGUGCUACAAUGGCUGGUACAACGAGUCGCAAGCCGGUGACGGCAAGCUAAUCUCUGAAAGCCAGUCUCAGUUCGGAUUGUAGGCUGCAACUCGCCUACAUGAAGUCGGAAUCGCUAGUAAUCGCGGAUCAGCACGCCGCGGUGAAUACGUUCCCGGGCCUUGUACACACCGCCCGUCACACCACGAGAGUUUGUAACACCCGAAGUCGGUGAGGUAACCGUAAGGAGCCAGCCGCCUAAGGUGGGAUAGAUGAUUGGGGUGAAGUCGUAACAAGGUAGCCGUAUCGGAAGGUGCGGCUGGAUCACCUCCUUUCUAAGGAA